rnacentral:lncRNA from 1 species
CAAUGAGUUGAUCAUCAAAGCAAACACACAGAAAUCCCAACUAAAAAUCAAUCAGUGAGACAAUGGCUGGAACCAAUGAUAUUAAAAUUAAAGGGUUUGAUUUGAGCAACAACAAAGGCAACACGUCGGGAUUAACCCACUUCGCCAACAGAGCUGCCGAGGGCGACAAGGGCGACAAUAAAAUCGAGGUUGAGGAUGCUAAAGGGCAAGGGAACACGGGAAACUUGAAAGUACUGACCGACUUCGCCCAACGCGGUAAAGUGGGCCAGUCGGAUCGCCAAGAACUACUCAAACCUCAGGCAUGAAAUUGAAGAAGGCCAGACCACAACAACUUGUCUGCUUGAUAGAUAUAUGUGCUAAAUUAUCUACACAAAAAUAAGAGCUGAUGUUUUAUCUGAGGCUCCUUCCUUGGUUAGGCCUCGUUAUCAUGUGUAAUAUUAAUAUUAUUAUUCUAAUAAAAUAAUGGUAGCUUAUUAUUAAAUAUAUCAGAAUUCUAUACGUAUAACUUUUAGAUUAUUGAUACUGAUGUCAACAAGAGAAAAUGAUUAAAAAUUCCUUUCUCCAAUUCGUGAUGUUAGACAAGAAGCAAACAAAUUUAGGAUAAUGGAUUUUAAAAGUUUGGUGACAAAUGAUGGUAAAGAAGAAUUUAGCCACUACUACAAAAAGUGAAAAAGACGACCAGAAAACAACGACGGUCUAAGUGAAAACCGUCGUGGUUUAUAAAAAGACGACGGUUCUAAAAACACCGUCGUGUAAUACAACCUUAGACAACUAAAAAAUGGAGUUUCAAAUGGCUGUUCAAAAACAACGACGUACAUAAUUAAACAACCGACGUCUAUUUGAAACAGAUUUCCUCAGUGUAAAAUCAAUGCCAACAAAGAACGGCAGAAGUUAUGAAUCGACCGACGUAGAAAGUAAAGACGACGAUUUCAAUAAAAACUGCCGUUUUUACUCAUAAAAUAACACGACGAGGUUUUCGUAUAAGACGCCGUAUAAUUACAAACAAAUCCACGGCUUUAAAAUACAAAAUAUCGCCGUAUUAAAUUAAUUUACAACGACGGAAAAUAUAAAUAUAUCGACGUCAUUCUCGUAUAGUUCUACUACGUUAUCUUUAAAUCGUACAAUAAAAUUUAUCGUCGUAUUUAUUCAUUUUAUACGUCGUACCUUUAAUUUUAACGGUCGUCUUAAUAAGAAUUUUUGUUAACAAUUUUUUUCUUUGAUUUUCUUAUCCUACGUCGGUAGAUCUACUUAAUGACAAGAAUUGAAAUAACCACGACGGUUUAUAUAGAACACCGCCGACAUAAUCAGUUUUGUCUGAGAUCCCAAGGGUUACGAAAUCUUACCAGAUGGAACUCUGUUCCACAUCAUAAUCUUAACAGAUGACACAGAUUUGCAAAUAUUGCGUCGUGUUAGUUUACAAAUUCUAGAACAUUAAUUUCCCUCAUUUUAAAUUUCCUCGGGAAAGAAAAAUCUAUUUAUCACGCUUUGGAAUUGAAAACUAAAACUGAAAGAAUACGGGAAAAAAAACUCCAUUUAUAAUUUAAAAUUAAAAUCCACGUCGGUUGUAGUACACUUAACGACGUUUAACAAAAUAAUCUACGUCGGUAAUUAUAAAUCUACCGCCAUCGUAACUUAAUAUAGACGACGAGAAAAGACGACGGUAGAACAGAAAACCGCCGUUGUUUCAGUUUCUUUAACAUAUCUUUCUGCAGGACUUGUGUAGUUCAAAGCAUUGACAAUGUCUUCAUCAUAUCUCCCAGAAACUACUGAUUCAAUUGCUCAUGCUUUAGAGGCCAUCUGAAGCCAUUUCUAUUCUUUAUCGCAUUCUUGAAACCCAUCUUCUUCUUCUGAAGCUCUACGGAUAAAGGAAGAGGCUAUCACAAUAAAUCCGACGGAUCUUCUUAGGCAAGAAAAUCAAGCAGAGGAUCAGGCACAUCUGAUCUUCAGAUUUCCCUGAGAAGCGAACUUUCCUUCGACAGCGAGUGGAGGCCAGGCUUGCAUCUCUUUUGAUGGAAAGCAAGGAGUAUUCAGAAGCACUAAGUGUCCUAUCAGGCUUGAUCAAGGAAGUGAGAAGGCUAGUUGACAAGCUUCUUCUUGUGGACAUAUAUUUGAUGCGAGUAAGCUCAAUUUCUCUUUGAGAAAACAUCCAAAUUAUUAUCUUUGAGACAUGAGAGACUGAGAGAGGAAGAACUUGGAACCUUAAAUGUAAACCGAAAAUGAAUGAAAGCGACAAAUUUAUAGAAUAAAUUUUUAAAACCAACGGCGGUCCUUACAAACAAACCGCCGUUUAAAUUGUAAAAUCAACGUCGGUAUGAUCGACGUAUAUUACAGAAAUCCACGUCGGUAAAUUAAUAAAAACGACGUGUUAAAUAAUAUACCAUGACGCGAGUUAUUACUUAUGUACUUUAAUUUUUGAGUUUACUACGACGGUACCUACAAACUACUGUCGUAUUUAUUUACCACGUCCGAAGUUAAAUGUACCGUCGUAUUUUGUAAUUUAUACGUCGUAGUUAUAUGUAACCGCCAUAUUAUUUUUUUGAAAUGGUUUUAUAUGUAAGCAACUUUUCGUCUACUUGACUUACACAUUUGUUGUUUUUAUAUUCUUAUUUUAUUUAAAUCUGUCAUCCAAAAAAGAAACUUUACAUAUUGCAGAAUAUUAAUUUCCUUCGUUUUAAAUUUCCUCCGGAAAAAAAACUCUAUUUAUAACGCACUGUAAUUGAAAAAUAAACUGAAAGGUCACGGGAAAAAAAAUUCUAUUCAUAAUUUAAAAAUUAAAAUCCACGUCGGUUAUAUUAAACCUAACGACGUUAAAUGAAAUGAUUCCACGUCGAAUGAAAAAUAUUGCGUCGUUUUAGUUAAAAACGACGUAGUUAAAUGUAACCGCCGUAUUAUUUUUUUGAAAUGGUUUUAUAUGUAAGCAACUUUUCGACUUACACAUGCACUGUUUCCAAACCCGAUUAAAAAUUUCAAUCUCCCAGAGAAACCUUUUCGUCUUUUUUCCUUGUCAGAGCAUUGUCAGAGUUUUUCAUCGUCUUCCUCUCGUCUUCUUCGUCGUCUCUGAACUUAAACAUCGAUCAUCUUCCUCUUGCUUUCAUUGCACGCAAAAGGUAAGCUUUCAUUUUCACUAUUUUGGUUACUGUUUUGCAUGCUCAUACGUUUUUUGUUUGAAAAAUCUUUUUACCUUUUUUCUGGCCAAAAUCAUUUUACUUCUUUCCAAGUUUGAUAAAAUAUACAGACAAAGAGAGAAAGUUUCCAACUUUGAAGACAACUACAUCAACUAAAUAAGACGACGGUAGACCACGACGGUUCGUCAGUUGUUCUAGCGUCGUCUGAAAAUUGACAAAGUUGUUUUUAAAAUAAUAGUCUUUUUUUAUAUGCUUGUUUAAUUGCAGGUUUGAUUUCGCUGAACAAUGGUUUUUGUUUUUCCCUUAUUUGAUAAAAUAUAAAGAAAAAGAAACUAGGGUUGGUAUCUAAUAUAGACGAUAAAAUAUAAAUAAUAGUUUACCACGACGGUGUAUUACUAUUGACGUCGUGUGAACAUAUAUACCACGACGUUAUAUAAAUAAUGGUUUUAAACAUUUAUUACGUCUGAGAUUAUUUCAUUGCGUCGUCUAAAAUCAUAUCAUACGUCGUAUUUUUUUAAUACCGUCGUUUGUGUUCUUAAUGUUUUCCUGAAAUAUUUUCACUUGCAGUUUUGUCUGUUAAAAUGGUUUCUCAACAACAAACUAAGGAUUCUGGCUCCAAGAAGCUUGGAAUGGUAGCUCCUCAAGAUAAGUCUUCGAAGGAGAUGAAGUCUUCGAAGAAGAUGAAGUUUGCUUCAUCAUCUGCUGAGACAGAACAAACCAGCCAGACAACAAUCUCAGAUGAUUCAAAGACUGGUCGAGGUAUGAGCACAAUGCCUCGUGUUGUGAAGAGAAAGCUUCAGAAACUGAGGCCAAUUGUUGAGUACAAUAAAAGGGGGAAAGGUGUUGGCCAAGCACAUAUUGAGAUGCAGUCGUAUAUUGGUGUGUUGGCACGCUCCAGGAUCCCACUUGUGGACAAGAAAUGGUCCCAAAUCCCCAAGGAUAUAAAGGAGCAGAUUUGGGAAGCAGUUGACAUGGCUUUUGUCGUAGGCCAAGGGGGCAAGACCUCUGUUUUAGCUUCUGCUUCCAAGAAAUGGAAGGAUUUCAAGUCUACACUAACGAGGCAUUAUAUCCUUCCAUACACCAAUGACAGGGAGAAAUUAAGCCAACCCCCUGAAACAUAUAAAUUCAUAGAGAAAGCACAAUGGGAUGCCUUUGUAGCUUCAAGGCUAUCCAAAGAUUUUGAGUCUGUGCAUUCUCAACAUGCACAGAUUAGGGAGAAACUCGAGUACAAUCAUCGAUUGUCUCGAAAAGGAUAUGCUGGAUUGGAGGAUCAAUUGGAGGAAACCAUGCCUGGGGUAGAAAUUGAUCGAUCUACCUUAUGGAAGAGAGCUAGACAGGACAAACAUGGUAACAUCCCUGAUCCAAAGGUGGCAGAGAAAGCAAAAUUAAUUGUAAGCCUACUAUCACUCUGUUUUAAAUUUUUAUUAAACUGUGAAUUAUUCUUAUUACGUCGUAUGUUAUAUUUUUCGUCGUGUGAAUGAUAUUACCACGUCGAAAAGUUUUUAAAAACGUCGUUAAAGGUCUAAAUAGGAAUCACUACUAUGUUUUCUGUAAUUACAGCAUAAGACGUCGGUGGUUCAUUUUCGCGUCGUGUGAAUGAUAUUACCACGUCGAAAAUUUUUUAAAAACGUCGUUAACGGUCUAAAUAGGAAUCACUACUCUGUUAUCUUUAAUUAUAGCAUAAGACGUCGGUUGUUUAUUCAUUUCGUCGUUUUAAAUAAAUAACCACGUCGGUAUAACUACCGUCGUGAUAAGUUAUAAUAACGUCGGUUUAUACGUUAUUGCGUCGUGUGAAAUUAUAUAAUACGUCGUUUGUACAUAAAUAACCGUCGUGUGUUUUUUUGUUUAUCUUUUUUUAGGAUGAAUUGCAGAAACAAGUCUCGGAAGGCAAAGUCAGAGUAGAUGGCAGCAAUGAUGUGCUGACCAUGGCUUUGGGCCCCGAGCAUCCAGGCAGACUGAGGGGAGUUGGUGCUGGUGUUUCCCCAAGGCAAUAUUUCAAUUUGCCCAAACCACAGAGGGUGAGCUUUGACGACCGUUUGAAGGACAGUUUAAGAGUUCUCCUUCAAGAAGAGACUAAAAAGAUGGAGGCUAAGGCAAGGGAAGAGGCCUUAAGGAUGGAGGCUAGGACAAAACAAUUGGUAGAGGCUGAGAGGGAGCAUUUCCUGAGUCAGCUUUCCCAAUUAAUUCCCAAUUUUGAUCCAAGCAUGCUUAAACCAAGAAUUAGCCAAAGCCCCAAAAAUCCAAUGUCUGACAAAGCUAGCUGCUCUGGAGGUGAUGUGAGAUCCCUACAUUUGGAGGAUGAUACUGCCAAAAUGGGGAAACAUCAGCCAGAUGAAGAGAAGGAAGAAGAAAAAAGAGAUGAAGAGAAGGAAGAAGAAAAGGAGAAAGAAGAUGAAGAAAAGCAUGACGACAAGGUAUGUUCACAUAACUUUGCCUUUUUUAUUUGUUUUUCAAAAUUUCAGACGUCGAUAUUUUUAUUUAAUCCGUCGUUUGUUUAAAACUUAGACGGCGGAAUUUUUUUAAGACGUAAUAAAAUAUUUAAACGACGGUUUUUGCACCGUCGUUUAAAUGGUUUCAGACGACGCUUUAUUCAUAAAACCGUCGUCUUUAUUGAAUUACCACGACAGUUUUUUCACCGUCGUUUAAAUACUUUUAAGACGACGUUUUAUUACUUAAACCGUCGUCUUUAUUGAAUUACCACGUCAUUUUUUUUAUUUCUUUAAACAGGUUAUUGAAGUUGGUGCUUAUUCAAAAAUGGAGGCGCCAUCUUCUUUAAAAACCCUUUGUCGUUUUGUGGAAACGACACUCCUGCCUGAGGAUAAGACACUCCAAUUUACAAUUGAUAAGGAGGUGUUUGGUGGUGAGCGCGAUACCUUCCUCCUGCCUGAAGAUAUUACACAAUUUGCAGGCAUGGAAGAAAUUGGAGCUACUGUAUUGGCUGUAUAUAUGAGGUUUGUACUUCUAAAAUAAUACCUCGUUGGUUUAUAUAUUGCGUCGUCUUAACUAACUAACCACGUCGUCUUAACUAACUACCGUCGUGAUAAAUAUAUUAUAACGUCCUCAUCUAUUUCAGUACGUCGUGUGAAAUAUUAUAAUACGUCGUUUUUUUAUACAUAACCGUCGUGUUUGUUUGUGCUGACUUGUUUAUAUUAUUUUAUGUAUUUAGGUACUUACACGAUGUUUUGAAACAAGCCAAUAUGUGCAGCAUGGUUGGCUUUAUUGACCCUGCUACAGUUAGUGCCAACUCUGGCACAAUAACUGAAAGAUCACGACUGGUAGCAGCUCGACUUCAGAAGACAGACGGUGAACAGCUUUUCAUGAUGCCUUACAAUCCAGGGUUAGUCUCCUUAGGAUUUUGUUUUUAUGAUUUUCAAUAAAUGACAGCUUAUAAACUAACCACGUCGGUGUUUUAUUUUAUUUAGUCGUUUGAAACUACUAACCACGUCGGUAUUUAUUUGUCGUCGUGAUAAAUAUAUAAUGUUGUCGUUAUCUACUUUAUUUCGUCGUGUGAAAUACUAUAAUACGUCGUUUUUGUAAAUAACCGUCGUUUUUAUAUUAAUUUUGUGCAGCCGUCAUUGGAUCCUGCUGAUUGUAAGAGCAAAGAAGGAGACCGUCUAUUUUCUGGAUCCUCUGCCAGGUCAUCGUGUGGUCGACGAAGAGGCGAAAAACAUCGUGAACAGUGCUUUAAAAAUAUAUAAUACCCACAUAGGCCGAGCAGGACGUAAAAAUGUAAUUUGAAAAACUCUCUCAGGCACACCAAAGCAACCCAGCAAUGUCGAAUGCGGGUAUUAUGUGAUGCGCUUCAUGAGGGACAUCAUCAUGGAUCCUUCCUUGGGGUUUGAGAAUAAGGUAAGAAGAAAUUACCUUCAUACAUUUCACGUCGUUUUUUGUAUUAUCAACGACGGUCAUGUAAAAUUAACGUCGUUGAAUGGAUAUACUACGUCGGUUAUGAAAAAUAUCGUCGUCUGUGAUUGAAUUUCUUUUUAUUUAUAAACCCUAAUAGUCAUUGUUUAUGCAGUAUGCCAAGGGAAACCAGGAAGCUUCAUACCCCCAAGAAGCCAUUGAUGAAGUCCGGAAUGAAUGGGCAGAGUUUGUUUUCCAAAUUAUUAAACAGGGCAAUUAUUGAACACUUGAUAUUUAUGUAUAAUGUACCAAUUUUCUCUAUAAUAUGUAAUGUAAAAAUUUGUUGAGGUUUUCUUAAAUUAAAAAAAAAACAAACAUACAAAUUGCUUAACCGACGUGUAAUACUUUUCCAACGACCUAAUAAAGUCACAAACCGUCGUAUUUUGUUGUUUCGUGUUUUAAACAAUUACGACGUAAAAAAAUAGUUAGACGACGUUCUUUGAACAAUUGAGUCGUUAAUGGUUUACAAUAUCUUCAAUUUCUUAAGGGUUCAGGGUAUAAUCGACGACGUUUAUGUAACGACUGCGGUUAAGUCGUAAAAUAUAUAUUUUACGUCGUAUAGUUAAAUAGCCGCCAUGGUUUUUCAUUUUAACGACGUCAUUUUAACGACUUAGUAGUCUAUUACAAUUUACAACGUCUACAAUUUAUUAACACCGACGUGGUUUGUUGUUGUGGUAAGAAUAUUUUAUUAUUUUUAUAUCAAAAUAUUCAAAAUAAAUUUAAAAUAAAUCAGAAAAUUGAAAAGUCAACUCCUAUGAAGUCAUUGAUAUAUUUUCUUCCACAUAAACCUUGAAAAAAUUCAUUUUGAAUAACAAAAAUUUAAAAUGACCAUCCAAAACAAAAUUGUUUUGAUGACUCAUAAAAUCACUUCUAGUUUUAUGGUUUAGGGUUUAGAGUCUAGGGUUUAGAGAUUAGGGUUGUUAUUUAUUGGGGUUUAUUUUUAAAGUAUAAUUUUUGGGUAGUCUAGGGUAUAUGUUAGGCUUUAAAACCAUAAAACCUUUUAUAAACUUAAUUUUUUAAAUUGUAUAAUUUAAUUUUAUGGGUUUAGGGUAUUAAUUUUUAACGACGGUGGUUGGGUCGUGGAAUACAUAUUUUACGUCGUACAGUAAAACAUACGACAUGGUUUACGCUUUAAACGACGUCAUUUUAAUAUGUAAGUCGGUUUAUAUAAUUUACAACGUCAACGUCUUUAAUUUCUUAACACCGACGUGGUUUUUCAGUCGUCGUUAUAUAAAAAAUUCAAAAUAAAUUUAAAAUUAAUCCGAAAAAUGAACGGCCUUACGUUCUUAAUCCGAAAAAUGAAGUUUCCGUCGUGGAAUAUUAAAUUUACGUCGGUACUUGUAGAACUUUCGCCUUGGUUUUUCUUUCGACGUUUUAAAACGCGCGCGCUCUAAAAAUUUUCGCGCGACCUAAACUUUUUUAGAUUUGGCUCUUAUUCUUAUACUUCGAACCCUGAAACCUAAAANNNNNNNNNNNNNNNNNNNNNNNNNNNNNNNNNNNNNNNNNNNNNNNNNNNNNNNNNNNNNNNNNNNNNNNNNNNNNNNNNNNNNNNNNNNNNNNNNNNNNNNNNNNNNNNNNNNNNNNNNNNNNNNNNNNNNNNNNNNNNNNNNNNNNNNNNNNNNNNNNNNNNNNNNNNNNNNNNNNNNNNNNNNNNNNNNNNNNNNNNNNNNNNNNNNNNNNNNNNNNNNNNNNNNNNNNNNNNNNNNNNNNNNNNNNNNNNNNNNNNNNNNNNNNNNNNNNNNNNNNNNNNNNNNNNNNNNNNNNNNNNNNNNNNNNNNNNNNNNNNNNNNNNNNNNNNNNNNNNNNNNNNNNNNNNNNNNNNNNNNNNNNNNNNNNNNNNNNNNNNNNNNNNNNNNNNNNNNNNNNNNNNNNNNNNNNNNNNNNNNNNNNNNNNNNNNNNNNNNNNNNNNNNNNNNNNNNNNNNNNNNNNNNNNNNNNNNNNNNNNNNNNNNNNNNNNNNNNNNNNNNNNNNNNNNNNNNNNNNNNNNNNNNNNNNNNNNNNNNNNNNNNNNNNNNNNNNNNNNNNNNNNNNNNNNNNNNNNNNNNNNNNNNNNNNNNNNNNNNNNNCUGUUUUUGUUUAAAACCCGUCGUCUCAUGUUGUUUAUACCUUGCGAUUAGAUCAUGUAUAAUCUGCUAUAGUGAUGGUCAUGCCUGUAUUUUCACUUUUAUAUAGAUAAUAGGUUAUAGUGUCGGAGAUGGAUAAGUCAUGGAUGCACUCGGAUAGAAGAUCGAAGGCAUAUGAGUUUGGGGUGGAAGCAUUUUUGAACUUUGCUGUAGAAAAUCUUCUAACUACAACACAUAUCCGUUGUCCAUGUGUUAAAUGUGUUAAUUUGAAGUUGUUUGGGGUUGGAAUUAUAAGGGAUCACUUAUACUUUAAUGGAAUUGACCAAAGCUAUAAGAAUUGGACAUUUCACGGAGAACCUUGGGAAGCAACUACUAAUGCUAGCAGAAAUGUUGAAGAAGAUGAUGGCCAUAGUAGGUACAGUUUUGUGUCUGAAGAAAUUGAUAUGGAUGAUAAUGAUUUUGGUGAUUUUGGUUCGGAUCCGUAUGAGUUUGCCAAUGUGAUUGGGGAUGGAGAUCAACCAGUGUACCCUGGUUGUAGAAAGUACACGAAGUUAUCGGCAUUAGUGAAGUUGUAUAAUUUGAAGGCAAAACAUGGGAUGAGUGAUGUCUGUUUUACAGAAUUAUUGAUACUUCAAGGCGAUUUGCUUCCAGAAGGAAAUACAAUACCAACCUCCAUGUAUGAGGCUAAAAAGACUUUGUGUGCAUUGGGGCUGAGUUAUGAGAAAAUGCACGCAUGCCCCAAUGAUUGCAUCUUGUAUAGGAAGGAGUAUGAGGAUUCAACUAAUUGUCCUACUUGUGGUAUCUCAAGGUGGAAGGAAGGCAAAGAUGCAAUCUUGAAAGAGGGUGUGCCAGCGAAGGUGGUGUGGUAUUUUCCCCCAAUUCCAAGGUUUAAAAGGAUGUUUCAAUCACAUGAGACAGCUAAGAGUUUGACUUGGUGGCAUGUUGCUAGAAAAUCAAUUGACGGUCAGAUGUCUCAUCCGGCGGAUUCCCCGUCUUGGAAACUUCUUGAUGAUAAAUGGCCUGAGUUUGGUAAUGAGCCGAGAAACUUGAGAUUGGCUCUUUCAUCUGAUGGAUUCAAUCCCCACAGUUCUCUAAGUAGCAGAUAUAGUUGUUGGCCGGUUAUCUUAGUUACAUAUAAUCUCCCUCCAUGGCUGUGCAUGAAACGAAAGUUCAUGAUGUUAACCUUAUUGAUUUCCGAUCCUAAACAACCCGGAAAUGAUAUAGACGUCUACUUGGAGCCUUUGAUUGAUGAUUUAAAAUCCUUGUGGGUUGGGAUUAGAGGAGUGUAUGAUGCACAUAAUGGAGAAUACUUUACACUCAGAGCUGCAUUAAUGUGGACAAUUAAUGAUUUCCCCGCCUAUGGAAACUUAUCUGGUUGUGUUGUUAAAGGAUAUAAAGCUUGUCCAAUAUGCGGCGAUGAUACACCUAGUCAAACAAAUAUUUUUUGUUGACGACCCGAUGCAUCGUGGUUGGUCGUGUAGGCGUGUGAGUGUGUGUUUGUGUUUGUUUUUGUGUGUGUGUGUGUGUGUGUGUGUGGUGUGUGUGUGUGUGUGUGUACCAUUACUNNNNNNNNNNNNNNNNNNNNNNNNNNNNNNNNNNNNNNNNNNNNNNNNNNNNNNNNNNNNNNNNNNNNNNNNNNNNNNNNNNNNNNNNNNNNNNNNNNNNAUGUAAUUGGCAGUGUAUGACAUUAAUUUUGUAAUAUAUUGUAAUGUGAUUUCUUCACUUUCUACGUUCAAAUAAAACACGACGUUAUUGUGAAUCAGUUAUUCAGCAUAUUUACCGACGUCUUAAAGCAACGUAACAAUGAAGAACCACGACGCUAUUGUGAAGCAAUUAUUCAGGAUAUCACGUCGGUGAAGGAUAAAGAACCGCCAUGUAAUUCAAAAUAACACGACUCCAAUCCCAUAAUACCGACGUCUAAAAAACGAGAUAUGUAAUCUGAACGUUAAAAAAUACGACGUCAUCAUACAUUUUCCACGUCGCAAGUUCUUUUAUAAACGAAGAGGAACGAAAUUAAUUCCGACGGAAAUUCAUUAUAACCGCCGUCUAAUAACAAUUAAACGACGUUAUUUGUAAUACGGCUCCCAUCAUAAUCUACGCCGUCUAUAUGUUCUGUAAUACGGCUCUCAUUUAUUUGGAACCGACGUUGUUUAGACGUUCAACGUCGUCUAUAUUAUUAAGUGCGUCGUGAGUAAUGAAUACAUAUAAAUACAACGUCGACUAUAUAAAUGUAUACGUCGUAAAUAAUGACACUGACAACUAUUUCCACGUCAUCUUUUUUAGAUAAAAUCGAAGUGGAAAAUUUAUUUCACGACGGUUUUUUGUAAAUAAGAGACGUUGUAGAACUUUAGCAGACUAAACACGUCUGUUUUUAUUGUUUUCCGACGUUGUUGUAUUUAACAACGUCUAAUAUUUAUGGUCGUUGUUUGUUUCUGAAAAUAGGACGUAUAAAUUUUUUAAUACGACUCUCAUAUAUUUGUAACUGACGUUGUUUAGUUUUUCAACGUCUACUAUAGAAACACAUACGUCGUAAAUAAUGACACUGACAACUAUUUCCACGUCAUCUUUUAUCAAAAAAUCGAAGUGGAAAAUUAAUUGUACGACGGUUGUGUUUAUAUGUGCGACGUAGUAGGUAUCAAUAACAUCGUCUUCUAAUGUAUUUAAAGACGUCAUAUUUUUUAUUGUCGUGAAAAUUAUAUUUAACGUCGGCGUAUUUUUAUUGUCGUCGUUGUAUGUCUAUCUUGCGGCCUUGUUCUCUUAAUAUGUGUCAUAUUUUCCCUUUUUAACGACGGUCUUUUUAGAGAAUUGGUCGUCUAUUAUCAUCAUCGAUUGCUUUUUUUAGAUCUUUUUGCAGUACAAAGACGUCGUUUUGUAUUUUUUGAUGACGUUGUAUUGUUUAACAACGACGGUUAUUUAGCGUCGUGGUUUAUGAGGGAAAAGAUGACGGUGGAUUCCACGACCAUUGAAAAACCAAAUACACGACGGUGAUUUACCGUCGUCUUUUUGCUUUUUUGUAGUAGUGAUCGGAAACUUGACUAAUUAGAAUACAACAUAUGUCGAAAUAUUUUUAUCAUAAAUGGUCUCUAAGGUUCGUGAAAUUAUUAGCUUUAGUCCUUCAUGUUUUUUUGUGACAUCAUUGGUCCUUUAUGUUACUCCUCUUCACACAUCAAUUUGGUUCUGCCGUUUGGAUUCGUCAAAAUUUAUGUUAAAUUGAUGGCAUGACAUGUAUAUGGUGCCUACAUAUCCAAUGAGAUAAUGACCCGUGGAUCUAAGUAAAAAAUUUGUUUUAAAAAAAUAGUUUCAUAUUUAAAAUUUUUAAAGGGCGAAGACUCAUUGGGUAACUCGAAGUUUGGGUUGUUGAAGCCUUCAAGCAUGGUUUUGCUCACAAAAGAUUGGAACGCAAUGUGUUGGGUUGAGCACUGAAAACCAAAGAAUAUCAAAAAUGUAGUAGGGGGGAGAGAGAGAGAGAGANNNNNNNNNNNNNNNNNNNNNNNNNNNNNNNNNNNNNNNNNNNNNNNNNNNNNNNNNNNNNNNNNNNNNNNNNNNNNNNNNNNNNNNNNNNNNNNNNNNNACCUCAUGUCAGCACUUAAUAGAAAAUUUGACGGACCCUAACGGCAUGGAUCAAAUUGAUGUGUGGUGUGUAACAAAAAGGAUCAAUAAUGUCACAAAAAACAUAAAGGACCAAAGUUGAUAAUUUUGCGAACCUUAUACACCAUUUAUGAUAAAAACCCUAUAUUGUAUAAUUUUAGUGUGUUUUUUUCUUAAAUGCUAUUGAGAAGAGAUUUUAUAAAACUGCUAUAUAAAAGGUUCACCACAAUGCUAUAAAACAAUAGUAGAUUAUGGCUCUCAGAUGUUUUCAUCUUCUUAUUCAUCCAAGCAGAUCGAUAACAUAUGGUCACUACUGACUUUUUCUUGUAGUUCUCAACAUCCAUCUUUCAAGCCAUCAACCAAGUUGUUGCAUUGCUCCUCACUGUUAGAAAAGCCUCGUUUCCCUCCUCCUCCUCCAUUGAUUGAAGGAGAGACAACAAAAGCAACUUAUGAAACAAGCCCCUCAUUUCCUUGUUAAACAUAAAUCGACCCAUUAUUGAUGAGGACUGAGAAUCUAAGAGCACACUAGUAAUUAACCUGAGUGGGGAAUAUGGAUGAUGGAUCUCUCUCUCUCUCUCUCUCUCUUGAAAAAAUCAACUUCAUUAUCCUUGGUGAAUUUGUUCUGAAUUAGUCGUGUCCAGCUACAAGCAAUACUGUACGUAGUAUAUUAUUCUCUGCAUUUGUGCAUGCCAACAACAAACAAAUAUUAUUCUCUAUUAUAGCAUAUAGGCCGUCAUUUUCAAUCCUUAUAAGAGAAAACUUGCUUCGCCAUAAGAGUACGUAGCUUGGCAAGCAAGGUAAGGGUACUUCAAAAGAUUCCUUCCAUCAUCUAUAUAAGACACAUGUGACAUUGCAUGUCUCAUCAAUCAUGUUAAGAUAAAGCUAGCUGGCAAGGCAAAUUACCAACCUUUAUGCUCGAGUAUAUUAUUCCAAGCAGAUAUAAAUGUUAAUAUAUGUGAAGAAUAUUAUGAUCAAUAUAGAAUAUGUAUCAUGAUCAGUUAUGGUAUCGACUGUCAGAAAAUAUCAUCCGCAUAUGUGCAUACCAACAUUAUCGAAAGACAGUAGGAGUAUCGUCAUAUCCGAUACAAGUAUCGGAGCAUGGGUAAGAGUAUAUAUACAAGCAUACCCGUCCAAUUAGGAGAAUCAGUGCAACAUAGAUGAAAAGAAAUUAGAUGUGAUUUCACAUAUUUUUAAAGAAUAGGGGAAAUAAACCAAUUAAUCUCUUUUGUCUUCUCCAUACAUUUUUGGUUGUGAAUUUUGGUUUUCGAAGAAUUUGGCAUUUCAAGCAACUUGGAAAACAUUUUGAUGAUCCAUUGAACCUUGUUAAAGUCGAUAUUCAAUCUCUAUGGACUUUGGCCGAAAUGUCUCAUUUCAAUUGGAAAGUGACAUUGAGAUUUGAAAAGACUAGACAUUAAGGUGGCAAGAGAAGUCUAAAAGGAUCAAACAGAAAAAAAUAAUGAAAAAUUGAAAAUAACCUAGAAAGGGGAGAAAAAAUUAGUUGCAAUAGGGAUAAUAAUGUUUGAGUAAUGCUAAACGAACUCUAAAAUUAACUUAGUACACCCUACUAUCAAACUAUUUAUUGAAUUACUAAUUUACCCUAAUAUAAAAUGACCAAAAAGGAUAUAUUGAAUUGUGCAGCAAAUGUAAUUUUAAUAAGUACACAUUACUCACCAUAUUCAACCCUAAUAUUCGAUGGAGGCGACAUUGAAUGCUAUGAAUCCAACCCAAACCCACCACCACCGUCCCUCUCUCUCUCUCUCUCUCUCUCUCUCUCUCUCUCUCUCUCUCUCUCACAAAUUAUCUUAUUUGCUCUAAAUUUUUUGCAAUGAGUCAGAAUCUUCUAUGUGUAUGUGGCAUUCGUUCAUUAGACUUGGUUAAUGCAUUCAACCCACCCAAAACAAUAAUCAUUUGAUGUUCAUCCUCGAUGUUGGUGGUUUCAAGUGAGCAUGUUCCCAAACGGCUCUUACACUUGCCCACUAGAACUCCAGCUCCUCACCCUCUGAUGAAUCUAAUGACAAUUAUGUUGUUGUUUGCACCAUAAACACCAACUUCCAACAACUCCAAUACAACCUAUUUCUUCUUAAUUAGAUACCUUGGGGGUUGAUAGCAACCUCAAUAGUCUAAGAAACAAACCCACUUCGGAAUUUUCCUUCUUCCACUAGUUGAAGGGAGAUGGGUUCCAACACGAUAUUACGCGCUUAUUAGAAUCUUAUACUCGUCGAGUCUGGGUUGGCUGGUGAUAAGCAGGGGAAGGGUGGAGUUGGGUUGUGUUAGAGAGAGAGAGAGAGAGAGAGAGAGAGAGAGAGAGAGAGAGAAAGAGAAAGAGAGAGAGAAGGGCGGUAGUGGUUGGGUUGGGUUGGAUGCGAAAGGGCUUAAAUCAGAGGAGGAAGGACGGGUUUGGCUGGGUGGGUGACAGGACCCGACCCAAUUUCCGCUUUGGAAUCCGAGCUGAAUCCUGUGCGUGUCCGACACCUGGCGAAUGUCGGGCACGAAUGACCUUUUUACCCUUCUCUUUUCAAAUUCUUUUUUUUUUUAAACUUCCCUUAGACUUCUACCGAAAAUUCGACAGAGUCUCCCCUGUAUUUUGACCAAACCCAAAGUCUUCCACCUGUCAAACAGUCUCAAAUAACACACCAACUACCAGACUAACUCAACCAACAGAUCUCAACUCCAGUUUCUCAUGUUCAACAAGAUAUCAAAGCAUUUCUAUACAAAUUUACAGAACUAUGAGAAAGUUACAACGAGAUCCUACACUUUGGGGGUGGGGCGAAAGCUGGGAAGAUGGCCCGAGUGGUUUCCUUCGUACUUCUAUGGCCUGGGGGCGAAAAACAAGGUUAAAAUUGUGAGUGGACAAAAAUAAAAUUCUUUAAAACAAAAACAAGUUAGAACAUAAUAACCCCCGUUUUGAAAUACUAGGGAUAUAAAUCGUUAAUUUAGCUAUAUUUCAAUAUAAGGAAUUCAAUAAACAUGAAUAAAUAUACUGACGAAUAAACUUGCAUAACUGAUCAAAUAUAUAUAAAGAUAAUAACGCAUGAAUAUCAAGAAACUGGUAUAAAAUCACGGGAAAUCAUAACUGGAUAAAAGAGCUCAAAAUCCUUUGAAACUACCACCUAGAUGUACCCCUGUCAUAUCCGUCAAUUCCCCUGGCAGGUCUCGGGCGUCACGCAGUCUACCCGAGCCGCAAACUGGCGAAAUCAAGGGACUAUGAUCAGCCUGAUCCGCCGGCAGGUCUCGAUGACACCAAGUCGACUCGAGCCGCUCUGGCAGGAUGCAGGGGACCGCAGUCAGCCUGAUCCGCAAUCCUGGCAGGUCUCGGGGACACAGAGUCAGCCGAGCCGCAAAUCCUGGCAGGUCUCGGGACACCAAGUCUGCCGAGCCGCAAAUUCUGGCACUCACGGUCCGAGCGUCCCCGAAACUCGUGAGGCAAAGUCAAGUGCACUGACGUAACUGAAAUCAGACUGGAUGUUCGUAGACAUCGGUCCGACUGUGGGUAAUCACCAUAAAUAGAUGGGUACAUGGUGGUUUAACAAGAAAUUCUGAUAACUCUCUGAAAUCUGAUAAGUCUGAACUAAAUUACUAUCUUUGUAUCAAAAGUCUCAAGUUUACUGCUCAACCAAUAUUAUAAAAAUAAAGAUAUUUCACAAUGCAAAUCAUGCUUCGAAAUUACGUAAUAACACUUAUUCAAGAUCAAAUAGAAAAUAUAAUUAUAAAAUCUUUUAGGAAAGAAAAGUCCACUCACUGUUGGUCCGAGCUAUCUGGACCCUUCGAAGAUCCCUCAUGUGGGUCAACUGGACCUCUGGUGCCUUACUCGAUUGAUUUGGUGGAGAAUUGAAGGAGAACGAAGGAGAUGAAGUUUGGAUGAAAAACAGGCGGAAAUCGCCAGUUUCCGGCCAAUUCCCGGCGGUCCAAGGCCGGCGACGGGUCGAGGAAGGGAGGCGGCGGCGAGGCGGACCGAUUGACACCAACGGCGGAGGUCGCCGUGCCCUGUAGCGACGGCACGCUCGAUCUGAAACAGGGAGGGGGGCGGCGGUUGCGACGGGAGAGAGAGAGAGAGAGGAGAGAGAAAUGAGGAGAGAGAAGAGAGAAGGAAGAGAUAAAAUCUGACUUUUUUUUCAAAUUACCGUUUUGCCCUUCGAGGUAAUUUAAUCGUAUCUUCUUCAUUACAAUUCCAAUUCGGGUCUACUCCGUGUCUACGGACUCGUUUCGCCGUGCUCUACGCAACGGCGCAAGCGAAAUUCUCAAAUUCUUUCUUGAUCAAAAAGUCAAAUUUUCCCCUAUUAAAAUAUGCGAGGGCAAAAUCGUCUUUUGGGUAGAAUAAAGAAAUCCUAAUUUUUAGAUAUUUUAGUUUGGGUUAUUACAGUGGGGGGUGGAGAGAUGAUGGGAGGUCGAUUUAACAGGGUUAAGUGUUGUUAAGUGGUUUACCACAUGUCAAAAAAAUAGAAGGAAAACAUGUCGGGCACAUGGCAUUUGGUAACAGUAAAAUUGGACUCAUGAAUGAGUUAGGUGUUGUGUGAUAGAGUGUAUUAGGGUGUACCAUGGGUAUUUUUAGUAGUUAAAUAGGAUGUACUGAGUUAAUUUUAUAAUUUGAUUUAAAUAUUAGGGUAUACUUAGAUCAUAGGGUGUACUCAGUUAAUUUUAAGGUUUGUUUAGCAACAUUCUAAUGUUUUGUUAUCCCCGGUCAAUAAUUUUAUAUCGUGUGGCUUAGAAGGAGGCCUGUUAUCCAACUCAUCUGGUCCACCGUCCAUGAUAUGAACCCGACUUGAGAAUCUUUUGGUGAAGUAGAACAACCCAACUUGAGAGUUGAGGCAGCCAAACUAGAAGGGAAGCAUCCCCACUCCAGUCCCGCUCCCCAUGUGCCCAAUACUUUGCUUGUUUACUUCACCUUUUAAACCUUUUAGGAUUUUCCAUAGGCUAAGAGGAAAACAACAACAUUACGGCCCAGUUUACGAAUGGAUUCGAGGGGAAAUUACUUCCCAUGCCAUUUUUUAAGGGAUGGAAAAUGGAGAUUCAUUUCCCAUAUUUGAUAAUCCUAGGAAAGUAACUAAGAAAUACUACUUUAUUUCCUUUCACAUAUUUGGUUUGUGUAGGAAUGUAAAACAAAGUUAGUUUAAUUUUUCAAUUAUAUCCAUAUGAAAUUAAAUUUUAAAAAAAAUGUAUUUAAUGCUAUAUUGUUAAUGGGGACAAUAUGGUCAUGAAAAAUGUGUAUUUAAUGUUGGCUAAUUUUCUCAAACUUUCUCAUGUGCAAGACAACGAUUUCUCAUGCCUAGACUUACCAAAUAUGGGAAAGCAAUUGAUUUCUCAUCACCAAGCCUCCUUUCCCAUGAACCAAACAGGACCUACAAGUUAUUAGCUUCAAGCCUUCAAGGAUUUUCAUAACAAAUCUUCCAAUCUCACACAAAAAUAAAAAAGCAUCCAUGUAUGUAAUUUCUAGAUUAAAAUCUCACUUUUUAGGCAUUCCAUUUUCUUAGGAUUAGGUAUUACUACGCACGGACAAUCUUACGAUUAUCUGCAAUUCAUCCUUCAAUAGCUAUGGACGUUAUAUCAAAUCAACAAUAAGACGUACAUUUCUUCAAAGAACUAAAUCAUGCGGAUGUCAACUUGCUCUCACUUAUAUGUUUGUCUCUCCAUAUGAGGAAGGGUGUUUAGCUUAAGGUUUUAGGGCGCGGUUGUCUAAGAACAAUAAGGUGAACAUGUUUUGUCAAAGUACAUGGGAGACCUUUAUCUUCAAACACAAAAAAUGGCCAAAAUUAAAUUAGCAAGGAUCGACAUAUGGAUGUGAGCUUUUACACAUUGCCACUAAUUCUCUCCAUACUUUUGUUGAAAUCAUUUACAAAAUAAGAAAACUUUAGUAAUUGAAGCGAAAGAGAAGAAUUACCAGAACAGAAAAUAAGAAAAAAGAAGCACCUAACCCAAACUUUAAGUCACGAAUUUAACAGUUUACUUUUUAAAAAAAGUAAGUUACAAAACAAUCCCCUUAUUGAUGAGGAUUGAGAAUUUAAGAGCACUAAUAACUUGAGUGAGGAAUAUUGCACAUGGACGAUGGAUCUCUCUCUCUCUCUUUGAAAAAAAAGAAAAAAGAAACAAAAAUCAACUUCAUUAUCCUUAGUGAAUUUGUUCUGGAUUAGUUGUGUUGCAAUGGAACAUCGAACCUACCUAGCUAAAAGGAAAAAAGAAAGGCCACUACGACAGUACUGCAGUAUAUUAUUCCAAGAAGACAAAUGUAAACUAUAUACGUGAAGAAUAUCUAUUAUUGGUCGUCAUUUUCAAUCCUCAUAAAAGAAAACUUACUUCGCCAUAAUUUCAGGUUGUUCUCAAGGCAGGAAGGUAAGGACACUUGAAAAGAUUCCUUCUCAUCAUCUAUACAAGGAAAUGUGUUCUCAUCAAGCUAGGGGACAAGGCAAAUUAGCAACCUUUAUACUCGAUAUAUUAUUCCAAGCAGAUAUACAUGUGAAGAAUAUUAUGAUCUUGAUCAAUAUGGAAUCAGUGGGUGUAUCGAUCGACCAUCCAAAGAAAAAGGAUAUCCUCUGCAUAUAUGUGUGCAUGCCAACAACUAUAAAAGGAGACCAUGAGGCAAUGAGUUGAUCAUCAAAGCAAACACACAGAUAUCCCAACUAAAAAUCAUUCAGUGAGACAAUGGCUGGAACCAAUGAUAUUAAAAUUAAAGGGUUCGAUUUGAGCAAAAACAGCGGCAACACGUCCGGAUUAACCCACUUCGCCAACAGAGCUGACGAGGGCGACAAGGGCGACAAUAAAAUCGAGGUUGAGGAUGCUAAAGCGCAAGAUAACAAGGGAAACUUGAAAGUACUGACCGACUUCGCCCAACGUGGUAAGGUGGGCCAGUCGGAUCGCCAAGAAAUCACGGGGAGCAAGCCACUUCAGACGGCAGCAUGAAAUUGAUGAAGGCCAUACCAUAAUAAAAUAUCUACACUAAAAUAAGAGCUGAUGCAGUAUCUGAGGCUCCUUCCUUGGUUAGGCCUCAUUAUCAUGUGCAAUACUAAUAUUAUUAUUCUAAUAAAAUAAUGGUAGCUUAUUAUUAAAUAUAUCAAAAUUCUAUACGUAUAACUUUUAGAUUAUUGAUACUGAUGACAUACCAACAAGAGAAAACGAUUCAAAAGUCCUUUCUCCAAUUCGUGAUGUUACAAAAUGAGACGUCAAAUUUAAAAAUAUAGUUGCAUACGAGUAUAAACUGAACCAAUAAGCAAUGUAUGAGUGACCAAAGGUCUCAAACGAUGCAUUUAAGAAGAAGGGUACUAAAUUAAAAGAUGUACGCCAGUGAACUAUGGCAAUCUCUCGUUGCAUGCACGCAUAUGCAAUUGAAGAAGACCUAACUUAUAUCACGAAGAAGUGGAUGGGUCUUUACAUAUGAAGUUUUUAAAAUUAACACUACCGGAAGACAAUAGGAGUAUCGGCGUAUCUGAUACAAGUAUCGGAGUCUCGGAGUAUUAGAUUUGAGCAUACCUGUCCAAAUAGGAGUAUCGGUGCAACAUAGAUGAAAAGGAAUUGGAUGUGAUUUCACAUAUUUUUAAAGAACAGGGGAAAUAAACCAAUUAAUCUCUUUCGUCUUGUCCACACAUUUCUUGUUGCAAAUUUUGGUUUUCAAAAAAUUUGGCAUUUCAAGCAACUUGGAAAACAUUUUGAUGAUCCAUUAUUGAACCUCUAAAGUCGAUAUUCAAUCCCUAUCGACCUUGCUCAAAAAAUGUCUCAUUUCAAUUAGUGCAGAGAAAAAUAAAGGCAGAGUUGAAAAUAGAUUUUUCAGUUUGGAAAGUGACAUUGAGAUGUAAAAAGACUAGACAUUAAGGUGGCAAGAGAGAUCUAACAGGAUCAGACAAAAAAGGAAAAAAAAAUGAAUGAAAAAUAGAAAAUGCCCUAGAAAGGGGAGAACAACUUAGUUGCAAUGGGGAUAACAAUAUCUUGCUAUUACUGGUCAAUAAUUUUAUACCACGUGGCCUAGAAGGAGGCCUGUUAGUCCAACUCAUCUGGUCCACUUCCCAUUAUAUGAACCCGACUUGAGAGUUUUGGUUUUUUGGUUGAAGUAGAACAACCCGACUUGAGAAUUGAGGCAGCCAAACUAGAAGGGAAGCAGCCCACUCCACUCCCGCUCCCCAUGUGCCCAGUACUUCGCUUGUUUACUUCACCUUUUAAACCUUUUAGGAUUUUUUUUAUAGGAUAAGAGGAAAACGACGACAUUACAAGUUAUUACGCAUCAACGUAUGUAAUUUCUAGAUUAAAAUCUCACUUUUUACGCAUGUCAUUAUCUUAGGAUUAUGUAUUACUACGCACUGACAAUCUUACGAUUAUCUGCAAUUCAUCCUUCAAUGACCAAAGACGUUAUAUCAAAUCAACAAUAAGACAUACAUUUCUCCAAAUAACUAAAUUAUGUGGAUUUCAACUUGCUCUCAUUUAUAUGUUUGUCUCUCUCCUCCUAUUGAUUAGCCUCUCCAUAAGAGCAAAUAUGAAAAAAGAAGCUCCCAAUCCGAACUUUAAGUCACAAGUUUAACAGUUUACUUUUAAACAAAAGCAAGUUACGAAACAAUCCCCUGAUUUCCUUGUUAAACAUCAACCGACCCAUUAUUGAUGAGGAUUGAGAAUCUAAGAGCAUAUGGACGAUGGAUCUCUCUCUCUUUUUGAAAACAAAAACAAAAACAAAAAACAAAAAUCAACUUCAUUAUCCUUGGUGAAUUUGUUCUGGAUUAGUUGUUUUGAAUUAGUACAGCUUACGUACGCAAUGGAACAUCGAACUUAGCUAGCUAAAAGGAAAAAAGAAAGGCCACUACUACAGUACCGCAGUAUAUUAUUCCAAGAAGACAAAUGUAAACUAUAUACGUGAAGAAUCUCUAGUAUUGGUCGUCAUUUUCAAUCCUUAUAAAAGAAAGCUUGCUUCGCCAUAAUUUCAGGUUGUUCUCAAGGCAGGCAGAGAGAGUACGUAGCUUGGCAAGAAAGGUAAGGGCACUUCAAAAGAUUGUUUCUCAUCAUCUAUAUGAGGAAAUGUGUUGCCAUCAAGCUAGCGGACAAGGCAAAUUAGCAACCUUUAUACUCGAUAUAUUAUUCCAAGCAGAUAUACAUGUAAAUAUAUGUGAAGAAUAUUAUGAUCAUGAUCAAUAUAGAAUCUGUAUCAUGAUCAGAGGGUAUCGAUCCAGCAUCCAAAGAAAAAGGAUAUACUCUGCAUAUGUGCAUGCCAACAACUAUAAAAGGAGACCAUGAGGCAAUGAGUCGAUCAUCAACGGAAACACACAGAUAUCCCAACUAAAAAUCCAUCGUGAGACAAUGGCUGGAACCAAUGAUAUUAAAAUUAAGGGGUUUGAUUUGAGCAACAACAAAGGCAACACGUCGGGAUUAACCCACUUCGCCAACAGAGCUGACGGGGGCGACAAUGGCAACAAUAAAAUCGAGGUUGAGGAUGCUAAAGGGCAAGGGAACACGGGAAACUUGAAAGUACUGACCGACUUCGCCCAACGCGGUAAAGUGGGCCAGUCGGAUCGCCAAGAACUACUCAAACCUCAGGCAUGAAAUUGAAGAAGGCCAGACCACAACAACUUGUCUGCUUGAUAGAUAUAUGUGCUAAAUUAUCUACACAAAAAUAAGAGCUGAUGUUUUAUCUGAGGCUCCUUCCUUGGUUAGGCCUCGUUAUCAUGUGUAAUAUUAAUAUUAUUAUUCUAAUAAAAUAAUGGUAGCUUAUUAUUAAAUAUAUCAAAAUUCUAUACGUAUAACUUUUAGAUUAUUGAUACUGAUGUCAACAAGAGAAAAUGAUUAAAAAGUCCUUUCUCCAAUUCGUGAUGUUACAAAAUGAGACUUCAAAUUUUAAAACUAUAGUUGCAUACGAGUACAAAACUGAACCAAACAAUGUAUGGGCCAGAGUGACCAAGGAUGUACGCCAGUGAACUAAUGGCAAUCUCUCGUUGCAUGCACGCAUAUGCAAUUGAAGGAGGCAUUAUCUGAGGCUCCUUCCUUGGCUAGGCCUCAUUUUCAAUUUUGAUUUCAACUUUGAUUUUGCUUAAACUUUGAUUUUGAGCUAGACUGUGAUUUCGACUUUGAUCUCCCAAUUCGUGCCUUAAGAAUCAGUUUCUCCCAACUCUAUUUACCAAAACCGAAAACUCUGAACUUUUCAAUUCGUCUGGCUACUCUCAGGGUUUCAUGCCUUAGUUUCCUCUCGCCAAAAAGCCAAAAAGACUUGGCUUUCAUGUAAUGCUAUACUCCUCGAUUGAACAAGCCGCGUCUUCAAAUUCAGCUUUCUCACUUCCUUUCUCUUUACUUUCUUUCUUUUGUUUUCCGGCUGGGAAAAUCAUGGAAGCAUUACAAAUUUAAGAGAAUAUUCUAGUAUUAGGGUCCAAACUGUACUAUUUAGGUAUUUUCAUUCUGAUUAAGAGUUCUUUUCUAGAAAUUUGGGGAAGAAAAAAUAGAGUUUCUGUUUUAGUGUUUGAUUUUCAUUACAGUGAAUUAUGUGAAACCGAAAUGUUUCUUGUCUGAUUUCAUCACUGCUUUCAAAUUGCAAAUUAAGGAUUUGAAGGUUAACAAUGCCCGUCUUUAACAAUGUCGCAUUUCAAUUAGUACAAAAGAAAAAUAAAGGCAUAGUUGAAAAUAGAUUUUUCAGUUUCGAAAGUGACAUUGAGAUUUAAAAAGACUAGACAUUAAGAUGGCAAGAGAGAUCUAAAAGGAUCAAACAAAAAAAGUGAAUGAAAAAUUGAAAAUGCCCUAGAAAGGGAGGAAAUCUUAGUUGCAAUGGGGAUAACAAUGUUUUGCUAUCCUCGAACAAUAAUUUUACACCACGUGACCUAGAAGGAGGCAUGUUAAUCUAACUCAUCUGGUCCACCGUCCAUGAUAUGAACCCGACUUGUGAGUUUUUUUUUUUUUUUGUUGAAGUAGAACAACCAAACUUGAGAGUUGAUGUCACAUCUCAGGAUCGGCUUCACCGUAGCACGAUAUUGUCUGCUUUGGGCCCCCUCGCUGUCCUCGCGGUUUUGUUUCUAGGAGCUCACGAGCAACUUCUCAGUUGGUCACUCAUCUUAGGAUUGCUCUGGCCCAAACUCACUUAACUUCGGAGUUCUCAUGACUCCGAAGCUAGUGAGCUCCUAAAAGGCCUCGUACUAAAUGGAAGUGGGCAUAUAUAUAUAAGGCACAACACCCCAUCUUCGUUGGUUGAUGUGGAAUGUUACAAUCCACCCCCCUUAGAGGUCUGACUUCCUCGUCGGCACACUCUCACCACACGGCAGAGUGGCUCUGAUACCAAACUGUCACAUCCCGGGAACGGCUCCGUCGUAGCACGAUAUUGUCCGCAUUGGGCCAACCUUUCUGCCCUCACGGUUUUGUUACUGGGAGCUCACGAGCAACUUCCCAGUGAAUCACUCAUCCUGGGAUUGCUCUAGCCCAAACUCGCUUCACUUCGGAGUUCCUAUGACUCCGAAGCCAAUUAGCUCCCAAAAGACCUCGUGCUAGAUAAAGGUGGGCACGUACAUAUAAGGCACAUCACCUUCUCUUCGUUGAUCGAUGUGGGAUGUUACAGUUGAGGGCUCCGUUGGUCGAUGUAGGAUGUUACAGUUGAGGCAGCCAAACUAGAAGGGAAGCAACCCAACUCCACUCCCUCUCCCCAUGUGCCCAGUUCUCUGCUCGUUUACUUCACCUUUUAAACAUUUUAGGAUUUUCCAUAAGCAAAGAGGAGAACGACCACAUUACGGUCUCGUUUGGUUCACGAACAGAUUUAAGGGGAAAUAACUUCUCAUGUCAUUUCUCAAGGGAUGAGAAAUGGAGAUUCAUUUCCCAUAUUUGGUAAUCCUAGGAAAAUAACAAAGAAAUACCACUUUAUUUCCUUUCACAUGUUUGGUUUGUCUAGGAAUGUAAAACAAAGUUUGUUUAAUUUUCCAAUUAUACCGAUAUGAAAUCAAAUAAAAAAAGAAUAUUUAAUGUUAUAUUGUAAUUCUAAACUGUUAAUAGGGACAAUAUGAUCAUGAAAAAUGUGUAUUUAAUGUUGGCUCAUUUGCUUAUUUUCCCAAACUUUCACAUGAGGAGGAAAACAAAACCCAAGGGGGGAGGAUGGCUUCACUUUCCCCUCUACUUUCCCAUGUACAAGGCAACGAUUUCUCAAGUCUGGACUUACCAUACAUGGGAAAGAAAUUAAUUUCUCAUCCCCAAGUCAUUUUUCCCAUAAACCAAACGGAGCCUACAGGUUAUAAGCUUCAACCUUUAAGGAUUUUCAUAACAAAUCUUGCAAUCUCAUACCAAGGAAAUAAAAAUAAAAAAAAGGAUCCAUGCGUGUAAUUUCUAGAUUAAAAUCUCACUUUUUACGCAUGCCAUUAUCUAAGGAUUAGGUAUGACUACACACGAACAAUCUUACAAUUAUCUGCAAUUCGUCCUUCAAUGGCCAAAGACGUUAUAUCAAAUGAACAAUAAGACGUACAUUUCUUCAAAGAACUAAAUUAUGUGGAUUUCAACUUGCUCUCACUUAUAUGUUUCUCUCUCUCCUCCUAUUGUUUAGCUUAAGGUUUUAGGGCGUGGUUGUCUAAGAACAAUAAGGUAAACAUGCUUACAAAAAAAGAUGGACAGCAAGGAUGGACAUAUGCGAAUGUGAGCUUUUACACAUUGCCACUAAUUUUCUCCAUGAUUUUGUUGAAAUCAUUAACAAAAUAAGAAACUUUAGUAAUUGAAGCGAAAGAGACUAAUUAUCAGAAGAGAAAAUAUGAAAAAAGAAGCUCCCAAUCCAAACUUUAAGUCACAAGUUUAACAGUUUACUUUAAAACAAAAGCAAGUUACGAAACAAUCCCCUGAUUUCCUUGUUAAACAUCAACCGACCCAUUAUUGAUGAGGAUUGAGAAUCUAAGAGCAUAUGGACGAUGGAUCUCUCUCUCUUUUUGAAAACAAAAACAAAAACAAAAAUCAACUUCAUUAUCCUUAGUGAAUUUGUUCGGGAUUAGUUGUGUUGAAUUAGUACAGCUUACUUACGCAAUCGAAUAUCAAACCUAGCUAGCUAAAAAGAGAAAAAGAAAGGCCACAACGACAGUACUGUAGUAUACGUGAAGAAUCUUAUGAUCUAUAAUAUUCUGUAUUAUUGGCCAUCAUUUUCAAUCCUUAUUAAAGAAAACUUGCUUCGCCAUAAUUUCAAGUUGUUCUGAAGGCAGGCAUAGAGAGCACGUAGCUUGGCAAGGGAGGUAAGGGCACUUCGAAAGAUUCCUUCUCAUCAUCUAUACAAGGAAAUGUGUUCUCAUCAAGCUACGGGACAAGGCAAAUUAGCAACCUUUAUACUCAGAUAUAUUAUUCCAAGCAGAUAAACAUGUAAAUAUAUGUGAAGAAUAUUAUGAUAAUGAUCAAUAUAGAAUCUGUAACAUUAUCAGAGGGGUAUCGAUCGACCAUCCAAAGAAAAGGAUAUCCUCUGCAUAUGUGCAUGCCAACAACUAUAAAAGGAGACCAUGAGGCAAUGAAUCAUCAAAGCAAAGACACAGAUAUCCCAACUAAAAAUCAAUCAGUGAGACAAUGGCUGGAACUGGAACCAAUGAUAUUAAAAUUAAAGGGUUCGAUUUGAGCAACAACAGCGGCAACACGUCGGGAUUAACCCACUUCGCCAACAGAGCUGAUGGGGGCGACAAGGGCGACAAUAAAAUCGAGGUUGAGGGUGCUAAAGCGCAAGAUAACAAGGGAAACUUGAAAGUACUUACCGAUUUCGCCCAACGCGGUGAAGUGGGCAGGUCGGAUCGCCAAGAACUUCUCAAGCCUCAGGCAUGAAAUUGAAGAAGGCCAUACCAUAUAUGUGCUGAAUUAUCUACACAAAAAUAAGAGCUGAUGUUUUAUCUGAGGCUCCUUCCUUGGUUAGGCCUCGUUAUCAUGUGUAAUAUUAAUAUUAUUAUUCUAAUAAAAUAAUGGCAGCUUAUUAUUAAAUAUAUCAAAAUUCUAUACGUAUAACUUUUAGAUUCUUGAGUGGGAAACCCUAGCUGCAUUCUGGUCCCUUUUCUUCUUGCCGACAACCAACCACAAGGAAACUAAAGGGGGAGGUGGCCACUGCCCCUCCCCCCCUUCGCCCAUCUUCCCUUUCUCUCCUCAUCUUCCCUUCUUUUUCUCCCAUCUUUUCCCUUCCUCUUAUGCCCUCUUCUCUUCCCAUUCCCUUUCCCAUAUAGUCUAGAUCUAUUUGGAUCUAGGUUUUGUUUGUUUGUUUGUUUGGUUUGGUUUGGUUGUUUUUGCAGUAUUCUAGGUGACUGGUAGUGACGUUGGAUUGUGUCUAUUAUCGGGAGAGUUGUGAUACCUAGUGGCUGAUGUUUUGUCUCUGUUUCAACGACGGCGGCAGUAGCGACACUAGUGAUAGUUAUUGGAUGUGGUGCUCUUCUUUAUUCUGCACUUACCGAAGAACUAUGCUUGGUCAUAGGAGGUUUUCUUUGUCAGAUUCUGAGUUGAAGUGGAGUGCUUCUUAGGGGUCCUUUUAUUGUUGCUUCUAUGUUCCUCCUCUGUGUUCUCUCCUGUUUUCUGUUAUGGUAUGCCUUGUAGUUUGUAUGGGUGUCAAAAUACUAUGAUUUUGCUCAUAGAAGGCUUCUUUUGACAGUUGGGAUAUUCUACGAUCCUCUUCUGUGGGUUUACUAUUUGGGGUUUCUGUCGUUCUCUCAUGUGGGUGUACUAUGUUGGUAUCUAGUUGAGGUUUUCGUCGGAGUUCUUUUUGUUAGUUUUCGUUUUUGAUUUGUUCUUUUAUUGUAAUGGUCCAAAGCGACCAGAAUUAAACUCUCUUGUUAGUCCAUGACAUGUGUGGUACUCUUUUCUCCCCGGGGUUUGUCCCUUGAGAUUGCCCUAGGAAGGUUUUAACGAGGCCACUAUAUCAUGUUGCUCAUUGUACGUCUUUGGUUCUAUUAAUUAAUUCUCUUUCUUAAAAAUAACAAAAAUAAAUAAAUAAAUAAAUAAAAAUUUAGAUUAUUGAUAACGAUGUCAACAAGAGAAAAUGAUUAAAAAGUCCUUUCUCCAAUUCGUGAUGUUACAAAAUGAGACUUCAAAUUGUAAAACUAUAGUUGGAUACGAGUAUAAAACUGAACCAGGCAAUGUAUGGGCCAGAGUGACCAAGGUUGUACGACAGUGAACUAAUGGCAAUUUCUCGUUGCAUGCACGCAUAUGCAAUUGAAGAAUGCCAUAAUAAUAUGUGUUUUUACUAAAUUAUCUACACUAAAAUAAAAACUGAGGCAUUAUCUGAGGCUCUUUCCUUGGCUAGGCCUCAUUUUCAAUUUUGAUUUCAACUUUGAUUUCGCUUAAACUUUGAUUUUGAGCUAGACUGUAAUUUCGACUUUGAUUCUGAUUCUCUCCCAAUUCAUGCCUUAAGAAUCAGUUUCUCCCAACUCUAUUUACCAAAACCAAAAACUCUAAACUUUUCAAUUCGUCUGGGUACUCUCAGAGUUUCAUGCCCUAGUUUCCUCUCGCCAAAAAGCCAAAAAGACUUGGCUUUCAUGUAAUGCUAUACUCCUCGAUUGAACAAGCUGCGUCUUCAAAUUCAACUUUCUCACUUCCCUUCUCUUUACUUUCUUUUCUUUUGUUUUCCAGCCCGGAAAAUCAUGGAAGCAUUACAAAUUUAAGAGAAUAUUCUAGUAUUAGGGUCCAAACUGUACUAUUUAGGUAUUUUCAUUCUGAUUAAGAGUUCUUUUCUAGAAAUUUGGUGAAGAAAAAAUAGAGUUUCUGUUUUAGUGUUUGAUUUUCAUUAUAGUGAGUUAUGUGAAAUCGAAAUGUUUCUUGUGUGAUUUCAUCACUGCUUUCAAAUUGCAAAUUAAGGAUUUGAAGGUUACAAAUUAUUAUGUAGAUAAUUUUUGGGAAUUUAAGAGGCAGUACAGUGUUUGUAUAAGUCUUGAGAUAGACCAAUUUACCACAUGCUCGAUUUCUAUAUAUAAAUUUUUUUAAAUCAUUCUUUUGUUUUAUUUAUUCUGUUAAUUUGUCAUAAUGUGUAAUAUGAUAGCUUCUAAUUCUUUCUUCCUAUUUCUUCUUUUUUGUUAUUCUCUCCCAAAUGAAAUGAAGACCUAACUUAUAUCAAGAAGAAGAGGAUGGAUCCUUACAUAUGAAGAUUUUAAAAUUAACAUUAUUGGAAGACAGUAGGAGUAUCGGCAAUUUGAUACAAGUAUCGGAGUAUCAAAUACGAGCAUGCCCGUCUUUAACAAUGUCUCAUUUCAAUUAGUACAAAAGAAAAAUAAAGGCAGAGUUCAAAAUAGAUUGUUCAGUUUCGAAAGUGACAUUGAGAUUUAAAAAGACUAGACAUUAAGAUGGCAAGAGAGAUCUAAAAGGAUCAAACAAAAAAAAUGAAUGAAAAAUUGAAAAUGCCCUAGAAAGGGAGGAAAUCUUAGUUGCAAUGGGGAUAACAGUAUUUUGCUAUCCUCGAUCAAUAAUUUUAUACCACGUGACCUAAGGAGGCAUGUCAAUCUAGCUCAUCUGGUCCACCGUCCAUGAUAUGAACUCGACUUGAGAGUUUUUUUUUUUUUUUUUUUUUUUUUUUGGGGUUGAAGUAGAACAACUAGACUUGAGAGUUGAUGUCACAUCUCAAGGUCGGUUCCACCGUAGCACGAUAUUGUCUGCUUUGGGCCCCCUCUUUGUCCUCGCGGUUUUGUUUUUAGGAGCUCACGAGCAACUUCCCAGUUGGUCACCCAUCUUGGGAUUGCUCUAGCCCAAACUCACUUAACUUCGGAGUUCUCAUGACUUCGAAAUCAGUGAGCUCCCAAAAGGCCUCGUGCUAAAAGGAGGUGGGCAUAUACAUAUAAGGCGCAACACCCCCUCUCCGUUAGUCGAUGUGGAAUGUUACAAUCCACCCCCUUUAGAGGUCCGACGUCCUCGUCGGCACAGUCUCACCACACGGCAGAGUGGCUCUAUGCCAAAUUGUCGCAUUCCGGGAUCGGCUCCGUCGUAACACGAUAUUGUCCGCGUUGGGUCAACCUCUCUGCCCUCACGAUUUUGUUUCUGGGAGCUUACGAGCAACUUCCCAGUAGAUCACUCAUCCAAACUCGCUUAACUUCGGAGUUCCCAUGACUCCGAAGCCAGUGAGCUCCCAAAAGACCUCGUGCUAAAUGGAGGUAGGCAUGUACAUAUAAGGCACAUCACCUCCGCUCCGUUGGUCGAUGUGGGAUGUUACAGUUGAGGGCUCCGUUGGUCGAUGUACGAUGUUACAGUUGAGGGCUCCGUUGGUCGAUGUAGGAUGUUAUAGUUGAGGCAGCCAAAAUAGAAGGGAAGCAACCCUACUCCACUCCCUCUCCCCAUGUGCCCAGUUCUCUACUCGUUUACUUCACCUUUUAAACCCCUUCGUACUUGAAGACCUGGCUGGCAAUUUGAUUGAAGCGAAAGAGACUAAUUAUCCAUGCUUUUGUUGAAAUCAUUAACAAAAUAAGAAACUUUAGUAAUUGAAGCGAAAGAGACUAAUUAUCAAAACAGAAAAUAUGAAAAAAGAAGCUCCCAAUCCGAACUUUAAGUCACAAGUUUAACAGUUUACUUUAAAACAAAAGCAAGUUACGAAACAAUCCCCUUAUUUACUUGUUAAACAUCAACCGACCCAUUAUUGAUGAGGAUUGAGAAUCUAAGAGCACAUGGACGAUGGAUCUCUCUCCCUUUUUGAAAACAAAAACAAAAACCAACUUCAUUAUCCUUAGUGAAUUUGUUCUGGAUUAGUUGUGUUGCAAUGGAACAUCGAACCUACCUAGCUAAAAGGAAAAAAGAAAGGCCACUACGACAGUACUGCAGUAUAUUAUUCCAAGAAGACAAAUGUAGACUAUAUACGUGAAGAAUAUCUAGUAUUGGUCGUCAUUUUCAAUCCUCAUAAAAGAAAACUUACUUCGCCAUAAUUUCAGGUUGUUCUCAAGGCAGGAAGGUAAGGACACUUGAAAAGAUUCCUUCUCAUCAUCUAUAUAAGGAAAUGUGUUCUCAUCAAGCUAGGGGACAAGGCAAAUUAGCAACCUUUAUACUCGAUAUAUUAUUCCAAGCAGAUAUACAUGUGAAGAAUAUUAUGAUCUUGAUCAAUAUGGAAUCUGUAUCAUGAUCAGUGGAUGUAUCGAUCGACCAUCCAAAGAAAAAGGAUAUCCUCUGCAUAUAUGUGUGCAUGCCAACAACUAUAAAAGGAGACCAUGAGGCAAUGAGUUGAUCAUCAAAGCAAACACACAGAAAUCCCAACUAAAAAUCAAUCAGUGAGACAAUGGCUGGAACUGGAACCAAUGAUAUUAAAAUUAAAGGGUUCGAUGUGAGCAACAACAGCGGCAACACGUCGGGAUUAACCCACUUCGCCAACAGAGCUGCCGAGGGCGACAAGGGCGACAAUAAAAUCGAGGUUGAGGAUGCUAAAGGGCAAGGGAACACGGGAAACUUGAAAGUACUGACCGACUUCGCCCAACGCGGUAAAGUGGGCCAGUCGGAUCGCCAAGAACUUGUCAAACCUCAGGCAUGAAAUUGAAGAAGGCCAUACCAUAACCACUUGUCUGCUUGAUAGAUAUAUGUGCUAAAUUAUCUACACAAAAAUAAGAGCUGAUGUUUUAUCUGAGGCUCCUUCCUUGGUUAGGCCUCGUUAUCAUGUGUAAUAUUAAUAUUAUUAUUCUAAUAAAAUAAUGGUAGCUUAUUAUUAAAUAUACCCAAAUACUAUACGUAUAACUUUUAGAUUAUUGAUACUGGUGUCAACAAGAGAAAAUGAUUAAAAAGUCCUUUCUCGCAUUCGUGAUGUUAGAA